CAUGAUUUUUCCAUUUAUAAACAAAUACAAAUUGCUUUUAUUUGUUUUUUCUUACAUUAUUUAUUCUAUUGGCCAGAGGCAAUCCUGAAUAAAAAAUGACAAAAAUGUACAUCAUUGGAUUGUUCCUGUUUUCAGUAGAAUGUGUUGAGUCAUUUACCAUUAAGUGUGUUAAGCAUAAAGGUUUUUUUUUUGUGUGUGUGUGUGUGUGUGAAUUUUGUUUGUUGCUUUUCCUGUAAAUAAAAUUUAAGAUUGAGGACAUUUUCUUCUAUUCUUAUUUGCUAUCAAUGCAUUCCAUUUCCACAAACAAUUUGUUUUCUUCAAAUGAGAUUUUUAUUUUAACUUGUUUCUUAACUGCAAAGCAUUUUAGCACUCUUAUACUACUGUAACAGAACAGAGACUGGGUAAAUUAUUAAUAAUAGAAGUUUUUUUGACUUAUGAUCCUAGAGGCCAGAAAGUCCAAAACUGAGGGGCCAUAUUUUGUGAGAUUUCUCUUGCUUCAUCAUUGCAUAGUGGAAGAGCAAGGAAGCACACACACUAGAGGAAGAGAAUGGAGAAGAUCCCAUCCCUUUUAUCAAGAACUCGUCGAUCCAUUCAUGAGGGCAGAGCUUUUGUGAACAUAUCACCUGUUAAAGACCCUACCUCAUGUUAUAACCAUGGAGAUUAAAUUUUGGUAUAAGUUUUGCAGGGGACAUUCCAACCUUACAAUGAAGUCAACUCUUCAUAUGAUUCUUUGCUUGGUUUCACUUGGGUUUCCAUGAAGUUGCAUCCACAAAUUGACAGUUAUGACUGGCUCAACUGGAAUGUUACAUCAAUUGUGUCUCUCUCCAGUGGUGUAAUUGGACAACCUUCAUGGUGGCUUGGGUUACCCAGAUCUCCCCACUGCAAGACAACAGGCACUCUUAAAAUUUAGGUUCAGAAUUGGCUAACCAUUUUCGAUGGGUAGAGACUGCACAAAUUCUGGAAGGUUGGUUCCCUGAGGAUCCAGGAUUUUGGGAAGCAACUUGUUUGUGUGCAUUUAGCUAGACUCUGAAGUGCAUUUCUUAGUGAUUUCUAUGAUGUGACUCCAGAUAGCACCCUGCCCAUGUGACAGAACAACAGUAGGUUUUGUAGGUCACAGUUACAUUUCCUACUUAAGCACACCCC
rnacentral:lncRNA from 1 species